GGUAAGAUAGAAAUCGGUGGUGCAUUAUUCUAGUUAUACUGUCUACUACGAGGGUGGGGCUAAAAAUCCACUAAAGGGCACAUCGUUGAAGUUUCUUGUUGAUGCGCGGAAUGCCAGUUUUGUGUGUUUUCAGGAAGUAAGAUUAUAGGGAAUUAUGUAAUGGCAUACAUAAUAAUCCCCUAUCGUCGCGGAGGCUUGAAAUUUUUUAGUGCUUUCAAGUAUAACCUAUAUAAAGUGCCAAGACACAAUAUAUAGCGUAGCCUGUCUUGAGUGGUAGUUUUGGGAUUAACAUCUGAGGUAAUUAUUAUUUGGCCAAAAAUAAUUAUUUAUAUCGGUUAUGAAAUUUCUACUGCAAAAGAGACUAGUAAUAGAGCUAAGUAUAUUAAGGAAAACUUCUAGAAUGUUUGCGUAAGCAUAAAAAUUUAAGGAUUAAAGUACGGACUUAAGUGGCAAUCUGGUAAUCAAUUAAUCUUUUGAUUAUUUUCUUUAAACGGAAACGGCUAAACAGUAAUGGUUAGUAGAAAAUAGAGAAAUUCGACCAGACCUAAACCGUAGAAUUUACUUGAAUUUUACCACCACAACUUUUAUUUAG
rnacentral:sRNA from 1 species